rnacentral:rRNA from 1 species
AUUGAACGCUGGCGGCAGGCCUAACACAUGCAAGUCGAGCGAGCGGCGGACGGGUGAGUAAUGUCUGGGAAACUGCCUGAUGGAGGGGGAUAACUACUGGAAACGGUAGCUAAUACCGCAUACCAUCAGAUGUGCCCAGAUGGUCUUCGCUAGUGGGUGGGGUAACGGCUCACCUAGGCGACGAUCCCUAGCUGGUCUGAGAGGAUGACCAGCCACACUGGAACUGAGACACGGUCCAGAAUCCUACGGGAGGCAGGAGUGGGGAAUAUUGCACAAUGGGCGCAAGCCGGAUGCAGCCAUGCCGCGUGGGUGAAGAAGGCCUUCGGGUUGUAAAGCACUUUCAGCGGGGAGGCGGGAAGCGAAGAAGAAGCACCGGCUAACUCCGUGCCAGCAGCCGCGGUAAUAG